AUUCUAUAUCGACUCAAUUCGUGCACAUCCAGGCAAGACACCGCUCCCGAUCUCGUCCUUCAUCACAUACAUGCAAUAAUUAGUCCUCUCGCCAGCAACAAGGAGCAGACAGGUUGUGUGGCAGUACUUGCAGAGAGAAAGCGCCGAUAAACUUGAGAUUCAGAUCACCAAUUACAGAGCGUGCACAUCCCGGCAAGACAUUGCCCUCCUCUCGCAAGCAACAAGGAGCAGACAGAGAGAAAGUGGCGAUAAAAUUGAGAUUCUGAUCACCAAUUACAGAGCAUAUACGUCCUCUCAUCGGAAGGAUUCACUAGCCGCAGUCAACAUGUGUCAAACACGCACUAGAGCAAAUCAAAACAACGGAAGGAAUAUGUGGCAUCAUCAAGGAAUCUAAAUACCUGAGCAAGCAGCCUCCAAACUAGCAACACUCUAAUCUAAUGAUAGUCAAUCAGACAUCAUUAGAGCAGCAGCAAAGGAAGCUAGGCGGAAAAGGAAAGAGAUCCUCAAGCUGAAAAAGGCAAGCAAACGACUAAGGACAGCAAAGGGCAAUGACUGUGAAGUAUCUCAUGUAGCGAAGGAUGUCACUCAAAUUUCAUAUCUGGGAAAACCAAAUUGUGUUUCUGAAUUUUGCAAUGCCAUUAUGUGGCAUGGAGAGAGAAGCACAAGCACAGGUAACAUCACAGUUCCACAAUUUGGUCUCUGCUGCAAGGAAGGGAAAGUUAAAUUACCACCACUGAAACAAGCUCCGCUGUAUCUCCGACAGCUACUACGUUACAAUGAAAGAGGAGAAUCAUCAAAUUUCCGCAAGAACAUCAGGUUGUACAACUCGAUGUUCGCAUUCACUUCAAUGGGAGGAAAGGUUGACUAUGAAAUUAAUAAGCAGGCAUCUGGACCGUAUGUUUUCCGUUUGAAUGGCCAGAAUUACCAUCAUAUUGGCACUUUACUUCCUAAAGAUGACGUGACGAAGCCAAAAUUUGCCCAAUUGUACAUACAUGACAUAGAAAAUGAAGUGCAGAAUAGGAUUAAUGCAUCUGCUUCAACGGAGAGUAAGACACAACCAGAUGAAAACAUUGUCAAAGGACUACUGGAGAUGCUUGAUGAGCACAAUGUUUUACUCAAAUCAUUUCAUAUGGCAAGGGACAGAUUCCAAAACUGACGUAUUAAAGAUGUAAGACUAAGAUUGAUCAACAAAAGGUCGAAAGAUGGACGGCAAUACAACCUACCAUCUGCCUCAAAAGUCGCAGCACUAAUUAUUGGGGAACAAGAUGGAGAAAAUAAUGAAUUUGAUAUAACAGUUGAGACCAAAGACAGAAUGUUACAGAGGAUUUCAGAGUUGCACCCAAGCUAAAUGUCAAUGCAGUACCCCUUGCUUUUUCCAUAUGGAGAAGAUGGUUUCAGACCAGAAAUAGAGUAUGAGAAAAAAGAGGUAGCAAAGGUAAAAGAAAGUAUGUAACAAUGCUGGAGUUUUAUGUGUAUCGCAUACAACAACGUCUAAACCAAGCUUCAACAUUGCAAAUGAGUGGACGUUUGUUCCUGCAGUUCUUAGUUGAUGUAGCAACGUACAUUGAACAGUGGAGACGAAAUUGGUACAGGACAAACCAAGGUAAGUUGAGGACAGAACUGUACAGAGGACUGCAUGAUGCAAUAGAAAAUGGAGAUACACGAACCGAAAAGAAUCAUACUACCCUCAUCAUAUAAUGGCAGUCCAAGAAAUAAGCAGCAAAACUACCAAGAUGCCAUGGCGAUUUGUCGUUGGGCUGGCUAUCCUGAUCUCUUCCUUACUUUUACAUGCAAUCCAAAAUGGCUGGAAAUACAAGAUAUGUUGGAUCUGAUUCCAGGCCAGAAACCUGAAGAUCGUCCAGAUAUUGUUGCCAGAGUAUUCAUGUUAAAACUGAAGGAACUUAUGAAUGACAUAAAGAACGAAAAGUGUUUUCGACAAACAAUUGCAAUUGUCUACACUAUAGAGUUCUAGAAAAGAGGCCUCCCGCAUGCACACAUACUGGUGUUUCUACACCCAGAUGAUAAAGAUCCAAGUCCUUCCCAGAUCGA